rnacentral:rRNA from 1 species
AUUGAACGCUGGCGGAAUGCUUUACACAUGCAAGUCGAACGGCAGCACGGGGGCAACCCUGGUGGCGAGUGGCGAACGGGUGAGUAAUAUAUCGGAACGUGCCCAGUCGUGGGGGAUAACGUAGCGAAAGUUACGCUAAUACCGCAUACGAUCUACGGAUGAAAGCGGGGGAUCGCAAGACCUCGCGCGAUUGGAGCGGCCGAUAUCAGAUUAGGUAGUUGGUGAGGUAAAGGCUCACCAAGCCAACGAUCUGUAGCUGGGCUGAGAGGACGCACAGCCACACUGGGACUAAGACACGGCACGGACUCCUACGGGAGGCAGCAGUGGGGAAUUUUGGACAAUGGGCGCAAGCCUGAUCCAGCCAUUCCGCGUGCAGGACGAAGGCCUUCGGGUUGUAAACUGCUUUUGUACGGAACGAAAAAGCCUUGGCUAAUACCCAGGGUCCAUGACGGUACCGUAAGAAUAAGCACCGGCUAACUACGUGCCAGCCGCCGCGGUAA